GGGGGGGGGGGCGGGGAUGGGGGCCGGGGCCGCUAUGGCGUCAAGUGCGUGCCCGUGCGGGGUCCUUGGGGGUCGGGGCACGGGGCUCCCCGCGAGAUGAGCGAGGGAGCGAGUGGACGUCUGAAGCUGAAUGGAGCGCGAAUAAGAGCGAGCGCGCGUGACGUAACUCGAGAGCGAAUCCUUCUGGGCUCAGCCGCUGCCGCUGCCGCUGGAGCCCUGGACCUCCUACAUCAGUCAGAACGUGGUCUUGUCUCAUGUGCGUCUUGGGCAUCCGCUCAUCCUACUCUUUCGGAUAACAUUCAUCCUUAAAACUGUUUGUUAUCCUUUUCUCCCUCAUCUUUAGUCAAGUGUGUCACACAUCAAUGUGCGUGCUGAGCGGAAGUGUUAGUUGAAGUUCCCGAAUAAAAACUCGGAUUUUCCAGCGGGCAUAACUCGGAUUUCUUUUCAUGCGAAG
rnacentral:lncRNA from 1 species